GCGAAUCCGAUAUUAGACCCACCCGAUCCGCUUCCCUCUCGUUCGCCGCCUUCUUGCCCGGCCCAAUUCUUCCGAGCGCCGGCCGACGAUCUCCUUCCUCUUUCACGCGGCGGAGCCUUCGCGCCAACAGAAUAGCAACGACGCCUCGGCAUGUUUGCUUUUUCUCUCACCUUGUGCUUGUGGGUUUCCAGUACGCGUGCUCUUCUUCGCGAACGCCGUGAAGCUCUUCUUUCUCUCGUGUCCUGAUCCAUCGUAACCUCCGACAGUGUCCAGAAUCGGACCUACCUAGAUUGGAGAUGAAUCGCUCGAUCUAACUAUGCAAGAAGCAGGAGGAGAAAUGAGUGAACACGAGAAGACGAAAAGGCAGCAGGAAGGGAAUCCCGGGAUCGAUGGCACGAGUAGUGAUAUUGUGGAAGAGAGUUCAAGCACCUCCUUGGAGGG